CAAAUUUUCAGACAUCGAUGGUUUACAAGCUUAUGAAGGGAAAGCUAAAAAUCACAUCAAAGAGAUCACCAAACGUGAAGCUGGACGUAUGGACCAGGAAUUGAAAAAGGCGGACGAUAGAGAAGAAGAUUAAAAGUUCCAAGUGAACCUGUUUUUAAGAUACUUCAAUACUGCAUUGACACAAACAUGUAAAACACCAAUAUCAGUUUUCAUGUCAACCAAUUGACAAAUAAAAUAUUAAACCGCUA